rnacentral:rRNA from 1 species
AGCAGUCGCCGCGGUAAUACAGAGGGUGCAAGCGUUAAUCGGAAUUACUGGGCGUAAAGCGCGCGUAGGUGGUUUGUUAAGUUGGAUGUGAAAUCCCCGGGCUCAACCUGGGAACUGCAUCCAAAACUGGCAAGCUAGAGUAUGGUAGAGGGUGGUGGAAUUUCCUGUGUAGCGGUGAAAUGCGUAGAUAUAGGAAGGAACACCAGUGGCGAAGGCGACCACCUGGACUGAUACUGACACUGAGGUGCGAAAGCGUGGGGAGCAAACAGGAUUAGAUACCCCCGUAGUCCCUGUCUCUUAUAC